ensembl:snRNA U1 U1 spliceosomal RNA
AUACUUACCUGGCGGGGGAGAUACUAGGAUCACGAAGGUGGCUUUCCCAGGGUGAGACUUAUCUUUUGCACUCCAGAUGUGCUGACCCCUGCCAUUUCCCCAAAUGUGGAAAUUUGACUGCAUAAUUUGUAGUCGUGGGGGACUGUGUUCAGGCCUGUCCCCUG